UGAAGUCUCAUGAAACCUCUUGCUAAGCGCAAGAGAAACAAACGAUCGGGAUGCACCCGAGUCGAACAAUACCUAAACUGGGAUGCCGUUCACAUGGAACGAUCCUAAUGCAUACAUAUACAUACGGAGCACAUAUCAAUAUCAUAACAUCAUAAAAAAAAAGAUAGAGGGAAAGAAUCAUACCCGUCACCACAUCGGGUGCGGCGCGUGCCUCCUCGGUAGUCAACUGGAAUGCUCGGCUCCUCACCAUCGGAGCCUCUGCCUUGCCCUGCCGGCCAUCCGUGAUCCGCAGGGUCGCUGGAGCUGGCGCCUUCACCGGCGCUGAAACUGUCAACUGGGCGCAAUUG
rnacentral:lncRNA from 1 species